UGAUUUUUGCCUAUAGUGUCCUAAAAAUAUU
rnacentral:piRNA from 1 species